GUACACUCCUACGGGAGGCAGCAGUGGGGAAUUUUGGACAAUGGGCGAAAGCCUGAUCCAGCAAUGCCGCGUGUGUGAAGAAGGCCUUCGGGUUGUAAAGCACUUUUGUCCGGAAAGAAAUCCUUGGCUCUAAUACAGUCGGGGGAUGACGGUACCGGAAGAAUAAGCACCGGCUAACUACGUGCCAGCAGCCGCGGUAAUACGUAGGGUGCGAGCGUUAAUCGGAAUUACUGGGCGUAAAGCGUGCGCAGGCGGUUUGCUAAGACCGAUGUGAAAUCCCCGGGCUCAACCUGGGAACUGCAUUGGUGACUGGCAGGCUAGAGUAUGGCAGAGGGGGGUAGAAUUCCACGUGUAGCAGUGAAAUGCGUAGAGAUGUGGAGGAAUACCGAUGGCGAAGGCAGCCCCCUGGGCCAAUACUGACGCUCAUGCACGAAAGCGUGGGGAGCAAACAGGAUUAGAUACCCUGGUAGUCCCAU
rnacentral:rRNA from 1 species